GAUCUCGUUUACACACAGCGGCAGCUGGUAAAUAUUUAACAGCUAAUUCCCCAGGAGGGGAAAAGCCCUAGAGUGCAGAGUUUUUACAGAGUUCCAAGAUGUCCUUGAAGAGCAGGUUUGAGAGUCUGCCUCCGUGACUGUUUCCGGAGCCCUUCCAACUGGAUUUAUCUAGCAUGCCACUGGCCCACCGGCAGUCCAGGAGCCAGCCCUCUGAUCUGGAGGGAGGGGGAUUUGUGGGCGGCCCUAUCCUCUCUGCCCGCUCUCACAGAUCCUCUCCAGAAGGAAGACCAGACCGUUGCUCAGUCAGCAGUUUGCAAGGAUUCCAAUCAAAGCUUCUCCUUCCCUUUGAAGUUCCUUCACAGAAGCCAGACAGGAUUCCCAGAGUCCUCAGGACGGAGCCCUCCGCCUUUCCCGUCUGGUCUCCAUGAAUAGCUGGACUGGGGACGUGUCUACAAUCUCCCUGAGCAUCAGCGUAUUUUUGAGUUACAGCUUGUGGUCCAUCACUAAGGGAAACUGAAGCGGGAACCUGGAGGCCGGAUGCUGAUGCUGGAGUUGCUGAUGCAGAGACCACGGAAGAGCACUGCAUACCAGCUUGCUCCGCUUGGCUUGCUCAGCCUGUUUUCUUAUCCUACCCAGGACAACCUGCCCCCAAUGGGCUGGGCCUUCCCACAUCAGUCAGUAGUCAAGAAAAUGUCCCACAGACUUGCCUUUUGGCCAUUGUUGGAGGCAUUUCCUCAAUGGAUGUUCCCUCUUCCCGAGUGGCUCUAGUUUGUGUCAAGAUGACAAAAAAAAAAAAAAAAAAAAAAACCCACUCUCUCAAGGUGAUGAUGUCACAUUACUGUCUGAAAACUGCCCCAACUUGAGAACAUCCCACUGAAGGUGUUCUUAGCAUUUGGCACUGGCACCUUCUGUCUGCCAGUAAACACAGAUACACUUAGACACGUGAGGACGGCUCGCAAAGAUUAGCAGAAACAAAGAGAGAACCCAUUUGGUCUGGUGUGACAGCUCAAUUUUUCUUUCAUGGACAGUUGGUGAUAAUUUUAAAUUUUAUCCAUAUAUUCUGGAGUCUACUUUCUCCUCAUAACAUUGUUCUUAGCUCAUUUAAAAGAAAACAAACACUCCAGUGUUCCAUGCUGUUCUCCAAAGAGCCCUACAGGCGUGGGUGCUGUCCUCUACUAUGCCAUGGGACUGAGGAUGCUACAGAUUUGUUUAGCCUUAGUGAAGGAUAAAGGGGAUGAGAAUGUAGAGAUGCCACCACGAGGAUCAGGUGCUGGUGUCAGACUGGUGGAAGGCACCGGAACUACUGAUGAAAAUGGAACAUUCUAAAGAGGGCCCCAGGCCUUGCCCCCCCCAGCAGGGGUUACCCAGCAGGUCAGGGGACUCAUUUUAACUUUCCAAAUCCAUCCCCACUUCUCACUCCCAGUGUGAGCCUGUGUCUGUGGCAAUCCCGGAGACCCCGGGAGGAAGCUGGCAUGCCUGCUAGAGAAGUCUGACAGGAAUGAGUGCCUGGACCCUGAAUCCUUGUGACUGACAGAAGGCAUGCCUCCUGCUCUUCCCCAAGCCUACCUUUCUCCGGGGCUCUGUGACACAACUGCAUCACAACACCGUGUCCCAGGCCUUGAGUAAGGAGGCUGCAGUCUGAAAAGUCAUUCUGGGGGUCUUCACCUCUGCUCACUGGAAUCAGCUACCAGAAGAUGCUUGGAGCCAAAGCCAGGCUUUUUCAACAUAGUACCCCGGAGCCCUCCCUCUCUCUUGACCACCAGCCUGCCUCCCCACCACUCCCCCUGUAGUAGAGCCUACCCCUCCCCUAAUGCUGCUAUCUAGGGUCUUCUAGACCUCCUCCCUAAAUACCCAGUGGGUUCCUCAAACUUGGUUGUCUCCUACAUCAUUCAUUCUAGCUCCUCUUCCAUCCAUCCAUUCAUCCAUUAGUUUUAUUAAGACAGGAUCUCAGUCUGUAGUAAAGAGUAGCCUGAAACUCAUUAUCAACCAAGAUGGCCUUGAACUCAAAACAUUCCUCUUGCCUUGACUCCCAAGUGCUGGAUUUACAGGCAUAAGCCACUACUUCUGACUUUUAUCAUUGUUUUUUAUUUAAUUUUCAAGUAAUAUAUAGUAAUUGUACGUAAUCGUGGGAUACAGUGUGAUACAUUAAUAAGAUUCUAGAUUAUGUAAAUGAGUGGGUUGGGGUAAUUAGCAUGCCCAUCACCUCGGCCGAUCACCACUUCUUUGUGCUGCAGAUACUCAGCACUUUACUAGCUGUGUUGAGAUAGAAAUUCUGAUUAUCCUACUGUGCUGCAGGACAUUAGGAUUCUUCCUGCUAGCCAUCCACCCCACGGAGCCAUCACCAUCCACCUACCUGCUCAAGCUAGGAGCCUGUGAACCGUCUUUGCACUCAGUUCUUUCUCCUACCCCCCUCAGUGUAACCAAGCAUCAUGUCGCCUGUUUUCUUUACCUGAUGCAAUGGCUGACACGUGUCUUGCAAAGCUCAUGUGCUUGAUCCCUGGUGCAGCAGGGCUGAGAGAUGGGGGUCUAACAAGAGGUGGUUAGGUCACUAGGACGCUGUCUCAGGAUAGAUUGGGGUUGUAGGUUAAUUAGCCCAACAGUGACCAUGCUUCCCUGUCUCUCUGUCUUCCACCAGGGGAUGAUGCAGCAGGAUGACCUUCACCAAGGGCCAAACACUCAUCCUCUUUAACUCUGAGUGACCAAAAAAGUUCUAUAUAAACUAGCCAGUCUCAGGUGUUCUGUUAUAGCAACAGAGGUACAGAGUCAUGUGACUUCCCGUGACCUCAGUCCUAGCUGGAGCCCUCAACCUCUCUCUUCUGAACUUACUGCAGCAUAGAGACGUCUCAGGCACCACCACUGCCGACUGGCCAAUGCAAGCCAAGCUCCUAUAGAUGCCACACCUGGCCUGACCUC